AUAUUUGUUGGGCACUAACCGUUCGUAGCAUAAGAGACAAAGAAUUUAAUGGUUGAUACCCCCGAGAUCCGUAGCAAAGGGCUUAAUAGUUGAUAUACUCUGUUGGGAAUCCAGUACUCUACCGGAUCUUGUAAAUCUGCAACCCGCUCCGAUACCGACUGCUAUGAAUUCGAUCGGUACGAAUUGUUGGGAUUCCGCAACGGAAGCGUCGAGUCGGAUUUUUACCAUAAACCCGUCUCCUCAGCGAAAACUGAUAUAAUCACAAAAGAGAGAAAAAUAUGCGGGUAAAAUAAGAUUCAUUAAAUAAGAGAAUAUUACACCUGACUCCUCUUCUGCACAGAGUAGCUACAACUCGAGCCCUCUUUCUGAAUCUCUCCUACCCUUCUCUCAUCUUCUAUACUCCCAAAAGACAUCUCUCUCAUCCUCUGUAUCCGUGCACAAGAUAUACCAAUGACCCACGGCUACGAAAGCCGCACACGUCCUUUUGCACCCAUGCACUAGGUGCAACCAAAAUCAUGAUCAUCUUGGCCAUGCCAUAGGCUAAUCCAUAGCACCAUCAAAAUAAUAGCACAUAUGCUAUAUUUAUAGCUUAUAUCAAAAGCUACCCAAAUCCUAGUAUAAUUAGGAUUUCUACUCCGAUAAAUAUUUAAAUCUAUAUUUAGUUUAUCUCCAAUAGAUUUAAAUAUUUAUCCUAAUCUAGUUAGAUUUAUACUCUAAUUAAUAUUUAAAUCUUAAUUUAUCUUCAAUAGAUUUAAAUAUUAAUUCUUAUCUAACUAUGAUUCAACUACAAAUCUAUCCAAAUCCUAACAUUCUCCACCUUGGUUGGAUUUUAUCCUUCAACCGCUGCGUUGAGCUCACCAUGCAAGCUCCACAUUGACCUUGUCUCCUCCACUCGAUGUCGUUGCAUCCGUCGCUCCGCUUCGAGUGACUGCACCUUCGCGAACUUUCGGAACCCAAACCAGCUUCGCUCCAAUUCUGACUGUGCUUCCGUUCAGAACGUAUAAGUUCUCACGCUUGUUCACCUCGCACACGACCCGAUCUCGCUUUCGGACCCUCAUAGCUCCACCUGAAAUCGAAAAAUCACAACCCCUUCGAGUCCAACAUGCCUAAACAAGAUCAAAUUGUGCUUUAAACAUCGAUCGCUCUGAACAAUCGGUAACACAGUGCUCUGACAUCGAUCUUCUGCAAGGAUCGAAAAUCCAGUGCUUUGACGUCGAUCUCUCCCAAAGAUCGGUAACCUUCAGCUCUGAUACCACUUGUUGAGAAUCCGGUACUCGCUCCGGUACCAGAUCUUGUAAAUCCGCAACACGCUCCGAUACCGACUGCUGUGGAUUCAGUAUCGAUUAUUGGGAUUCCACAACGGAAGCUUCGAAUCGGGUUUUUACCAUAAACCCGUCUCCUCAGCGAAAGCUGAUACAAUCACAAAAGAGAGAAAAAUAUGCAGAUAAAAUAAGAUUUAUUAAAUAAGAGAAUAUUACACCUGACUUCUCUUCUGCACAGCGUAGCUACAAUCCGAACCCUCUUUCUGAAUCUCUCCUACCCUUCUCUCGUCUUCUAUACUCCCGAAAGAUAUCUCUCUCAACCUGUGUAUCCGUGCACAAGGUAUACCAAUGACCCACGGCUACCAACCGGAUGUGGCCAAUCCAUAGCACCAUCAAAAUAAUAACACCUAUGCUCUAUUUAUAGCUUACAUCAAAAGCUACCCAAAUCCUAGUAUAAUUAAGAUUCCUACUCCGAUAAAUAUUUAAAUCUAUAUUUAGUUUAUCUCCAAUAGAUUUAAAUAUUUAUCCCAAUCUAAUUAGAUUUGUACUUUAAUUAAUAUUUAAAUCUUAAUUUAUCUUCAAUAAAUUUAAAUAUUAAUUCUUAUCUAAUUAGGAUUUAAUUACAAAUCUAUCCAAAUCCUAACAAAGAUUGUUGGGAUUCCUAAUAGUUGAUAUACUCGAGGUCCAAAUUCAAAGCCUCAUUACAAUUCAUAUUUUUAGCAAAGUUCAUUUUUUUAAAAAAAAUGAACAAGCUGCAGUAUGCUACCAUUCUCUCUCUCUCUCUCUCUCUCUCUCUCUCUCUCUCAAAAAAAAAAAAAAAAAAAAAAAAAAAAAAAAAAAAAAAAAAA
rnacentral:lncRNA from 1 species